rnacentral:tRNA from 1 species
GCCCCCGUGGUGUAACGGAAUAGCGCACGAGGCUUCUAACCUCGCAGAGAGGGUUUGAGUCCUUCCGGGGGUUCUA